UACGUAGGGUGCGAGCGUUAAUCGGACUUACUGGGCGUAAAGCGUGCGCAGGCGGCUUUGCAAGACAGAUGUGAAAUCCCCGGGCUCAACCAGGGAACUGCAUUUGUGACUGCAAGGCUAGAGUACGGCAGAGGGGGAUGGAAUUCCGCGUGUAGCAGUGAAAUGCGUAGAUAUGCGGAGGAACACCAAUGGCGAAGGCAAUCCCCUGGGCCUGUACUGACGCUCAUGCACGAAAGCGUGGGGAGCAAACAGG
rnacentral:rRNA from 1 species